CGUGAGAUGUGCCCUCAUACUGCAGAAGUAGGAGCUCUUUUUUGUGUGUGUGCACCGGAAUAUUGUUUGUAUAAGUCAUAAUAUUUAUGCAGAGGACGCCUGAGGAGUGAAGUGGAUUUGCUCUGCCGGAUUCUGAGCUCACAACCUCGGGUGGAGACCAUGCGUCGACUGCUUGUAGACCUGCUGGGACCAUCGGAAUGAAGAAGCAUGCUGGCUCCGUCCCACAGCGGGUCUGUCCCACACACUGAGUGGGAGCCAUUUAAUGCUGCCCCACCCUGUGGCUCAGUCAGCACACCUCCCAUGCAGGGCUGGUCCAUCCCGGUGUGACUGAUGCUGCUAUUGAGCCAUCAAUAAUAGGAGAUGAGACAAAAACCGCAGCGUGGAGGACAUGAGGAGACUCGGACCACCACAGCAGACCCGAGUGGGCAGGCAUGCGGCUUUGGCCACAGGAAGCUGUGAAUUCUUUGGAGAAUGGAAGAUGUCUUACGAGCCCCCCACUCCCGCCCAUUUGCUACCCCAGAAUGACCCCUGACCCAUCCGUAUGUUUAUAUCAGAGCAUGGAAGUGAGAAAUAGUGAUGAGUCACUCCGGCCGUGUGUUUACACUCCAAAGUCACGCAAGGAAGGAAAUCAGCCACGGUCUGCUACAAGUGGCGAGCAGGGAGAGAGAAUAGCUGCGGCCCACUCAGCGCCACAAAGGUGCACCUCUCCGUGGGCAGGAUUUUAGGAUUUCCUUUACCUGAGAUCUGCUGCAAACCCUACAGGACAAUGUACAUGGACAUUGCACUAAACAAUUUGCAAUGGACUGACUAUAUGCAGUAUUUGAUUGUAGUGUUUGAUUUUUACAGUGUAAGCAUCAAAUGAAUCCUGAUAGGGAUUAAUUAUGAUUGGAAAAAAAACUAUCCGUUCCAGGGUCAAACUAUCACCAUCAUAAAACCUCUAUUAACUCCACAGUUGCCAUUUCUGAAAACAAAAUUUCUGAAAUAAAAUGCUAUCUCACAGCUUUAAGGCAUACAUUUGGGUGCCUACUUGUUGCCAGGCAGAAUUACUGGGGCACAAUCAUUAGUGAGUAGCAUAUGGCUGUCCAAUGAAAAGCAUUUUUUUGAAAAUCUGAAAAUGCCCCUCGGCCAUUCUUUUGAGUGACCAUUUGAUUAUGAAGCUGUUGUUAUCAAGAGAGAGCGUUACUCUACUUAUGCUCUAAAAAUAAACGUAACACCUCAUUGCUUUCCACAGAGACACACACACACAUACGCAGCCUCAAUAAGAGCCCACAGCUUUUAUUUUGGCAAGAUUUCUCCUGGAUUGUACCUCCUUGUCAGGGGCUUUGAUUGAUAGUUGUGUUUAUCGCCGUAUUAUUAAGUAAUCAGGGUGACCGCAGCAGAGCCUCAAGCUUCCACUUCAGUGCAAAUUAAAGGUUUGCUUCAUGUUUAUUCUUGUGAGUUUUCUUAAAGAGAUAUAUAUUUAUAUUUAUAAAAGCGUUUUAUAUAGGAGUGUCCUGAUUGCUGCAGCCGCUUGGGAACAUUUAGUGGGAUGCAUCCUCAUCACGUACAUCCAUGCAGGACAUUCACAGACCUGCUAGAGUGUAAACAUCCUGCCUUUCAAGACAAUUGUACAUUGCUGUAAAAAUUGUGUUAAAUGACCAUGGAGGUAUAUGUGCCACUUUUUGAGCGUAAACAAUAAGUACUCAACAAAGGUGGGUGCUCACUUUUAUAGAGCCUGCAACUCGCUUACGUUUUGUACGGGCUGAGUAAACAAAGUCAGGGCGACGUGGACAUGCUGCUGAGUGUGUCCUGAUGGAGACGUGCAGCUCUGUGGCACCGACUGAGACACUGGCAACUCUCUUGUUUGAUGAAUGGCCACUGGAUCAUAGGCCAUGGAUUUGGCUUAUUUAAGAAGAUUGUUCUCCAGACGAUUUGGUUUAGGUACCAAUGAGGUGACAAAUGUUCCAUAAUGUUGGAGCCAUGAUAUCAAGACAAAUAAUUUAAUUCUAUUAUUGUAGUUAUGAUACCUUUUUGGAGUUUACCCGGGUGUGCUACUUUAUAUAAAUCCUGCUGCACUGAAAAACCUUUAUUCAUAUUGGCUGUGUGGGGGAAUUUUUGUUAUACAAAUUAUGUUCUUUAUAGUCAUAUUAAGAAUUGUAUCCAGACAUGGGAAAACAAAUGUAAAAAAAUGUUGGUGUAAUGCAAUAAUACAUACAUGUAAUACAGUAAUUAAAUGAACACUGCUUA